rnacentral:misc_RNA from 1 species
GGAGCAAAAGUCGUAACAAGGUUUCCGUAGGUGAACCUGCGGAAGGAUCAUUAUUGUAUAACCGAGGUGCGAGGGCUGUCGCUGACCCGAAAGGUCGUGCACGCCCGAGUGCCCUCACACACAUCCAUCUCACCCCUAUGUGCACCACCGCGUGGGUCCCCCUUUGGCUUGUUCGGAGGGGGGCUUACGUUUUCACACAAACUUUGUAUGCAGUGUAGAAUGUAUUUUUUGUUUUUGCGAUCACGCAAUCAAUACAACUUUCAACAACGGAUCUCUUGGCUCUC